AAUAUUAAAAUGUAUUGGAGUAGUAACUUAAGUACUUUUCAUCAGAGAGCUAGUGGUGGUGAAAACUAGUGUUAAGAAUUAAGUGAACUUACCGUUAUUCGAUUAAAUUAUAAACAUCUCUUACUAUUAUAAAGUGCACAUAUUAUGUGAAUUAGGGUGGUACCGCGGCAAGAAGUCGUCCCUGUA
rnacentral:ncRNA from 1 species